rnacentral:other from 1 species
GUUAAUCUUCAGUCGAAGUUUCAGAAGUUUUUGUAACUGAUAAGGCCACAAAGACUUUUAGCUUUGUGGCUUUUUUUGUUGGGAUUAGGUUCGUUCUGAGACUUUAGUCUAUAUGCAAGGAGGUAAAAAAGAUGGCUAAAGGAACAGUUAAGUGGUUCAAUGAAUCCAAAGGUUUUGGCUUUAUCACAAGCGAAGACGGCAGCGAUGUUUUUGUGCACUAUUCUUCUAUCCAAGGCGACGGAUUCAAGUCCCUUGCCGAAGGUGAUGCAGUCAGCUUUGAUGUUGAAAAGGGCCCAAAAGGUCCCAAGGCAGUCAAUGUGGUUAAACUCUAAUUGAUGAAAAAGUCCUCCUGUUUAAACAGGAGGACUUUUA